rnacentral:rRNA from 1 species
GAUGAACGCUGGCGGCGUGCCUAAUACAUGCAAGUCGAGCGAACGGACGAGAAGCUUGCUUCUCUGAUGUUAGCGGCGGACGGGUGAGUAACACGUGGAUAACCUACCUAUAAGACUGGGAUAACUUCGGGAAACCGUAGCUAAUACCGGAUAAUAUUUUGAACCGCAUGGUUCAAAAGUGAAAGACGGUCUUGCUGUCACUUAUAGAUGGAUCCGCGCUGCAUUAGCUAGUUGGUAAGGUAACGGCUUACCAAGGCAGCGAUGCAUAGCCGACCUGAGAGGGUGAUCGGCCACACUGGAACUGAGACACGGUCCAGACUCCUACGGGAGGCAGCAGUAGGGAAUCUUCCGCAAUGGGCGAAAGCCUGACGGAGCAACGCCGCGUGAGUGAUGAAGGUCUUCGGAUCGUAAAACUCUGUUAUUAGGGAAGAACAUAUGUGUAAGUAACUGUGCACAUCUUGACGGUAACUAAUCAGAAAGCCACGGCUAACUACGUG